UACGGGGGGGGGCAAGCGUUGUUCGGAAUUACUGGGCGUAAAGGGCUCGUAGGCGGCCCACUAAGUCCGACGUGAAAUCCCCAGGCUUAACUUGGGAACUGCGUCGGAUACUGGUGGGCUUGAAUCCGGGAGAGGGAUGCGGAAUUCCAGGUGUAGCGGUGAAAUGCGUAGAGAUCCGGAGGAACACCAAAGGCGAAGGCAGUGUCCUGGGGAGUACCUGACGCUCAGGUGCGAAAGCCAGGGGAGCGAACGGGG
rnacentral:rRNA from 1 species